rnacentral:tRNA from 1 species
GGGAUCCUAGCUCAAUUGGUUGGAGCCACGGACUCAUAAUCCGUAGGUUGUGGGUUCGAAUCCCACGGGUCCCA